AUUGAACGCUGGCGGCAGGCCUAACACAUGCAAGUCGAGCGGAUGAAGGGAGCUGGCUCCUGGAUUCAGCGGCGGACGGGUGAGUAAUGCCUAGGAAUCUGCCUGGGAGUGGGGGAUAACGGCCGGAAACGGGCGCUAAUACCGCAUACGUCCUGAGGGAGAAAGUGGGGGAUCUUCGGACCUCACGCUCUCAGAUGAGCCUAGGUCGGAUUAGCUAGUUGGUGGGGUAAAGGCCUACCAAGGCGACGAUCCGUAACUGGUCUGAGAGGAUGAUCAGUCACACUGGAACUGAGACACGGUCCAGACUCCUACGGGAGGCAGCAGUGGGGAAUAUUGGACAAUGGGCGAAAGCCUGAUCCAGCCAUGCCGCGUGUGUGAAGAAGGUCUUCGGAUUGUAAAGCACUUUAAGUUGGGAGGAAGGGCAGUAAGUUAAUACCUUGCUGUUUUGACGUUACCAACAGAAUAAGCACCGGCUAACUUCGUG
rnacentral:rRNA from 1 species